CCUACGGGUGGCAGCAGUGGGGAAUAUUGCACAAUGGGGGGAACCCUGAUGCAGCGACGCCGCGUGAGUGAAGAAGGAUUUCGGUAUGUAAAGCUCUAUCAGCAGGGAAGAAAAUGACGGUACCUGAAUAAGAAGCCCCGGCUAACUACGUGGCAGCAGCCGCGGUAAUACGUAGGGGGCAAGCGUUAUCCGGAUUUUCUGGGUGUAAAGGGAGCGCAGGCGGCUGUGAAAGGCUGUAGUGAAAGGCUGGGGCCCAACCCCCGGACUGUUCUUGAAACUGUAAAGCUGGAGUGCAGGAGAGGUAGGCGGAAUGCCUAGUGUAGCGGUGAAAUGCGUAGAUAUUAGGAAGAACACCAGUGGCGAAGGCGGCUUACUGGACUGCAACUGACGUUGAGGCUCGAAAGCGUGGGGAGCAAACAGGAUUAGAUACCCGUGUAGUC
rnacentral:rRNA from 1 species